GACGAACGCUGGCGGCGUGCUUAGCACAUGCAAGUCGAACGGAAAGGCCCUGCUUUUGUGGGGUGCUCGAGUGGCGAACGGGUGAGUAACACGUGAGUAACCUGCCCUUGACUUUGGGAUAACUUCAGGAAACUGGGGCUAAUACCGGAUAGGAGCUCCUGCUGCAUGGUGGGGGUUGGAAAGUUUCGGCGGUUGGGGAUGGACUCGCGGCUUAUCAGCUUGUUGGUGGGGUAGUGGCUUACCAAGGCUUUGACGGGUAGCCGGCCUGAGAGGGUGACCGGCCACAUUGGGACUGAGAUACGGCCCAGACUCCUACGGGAGGCAGCAGUGGGGAAUAUUGCACAAUGGGCGGAAGCCUGAUGCAGCAACGCCGCGUGCGGGAUGACGGCCUUCGGGUUGUAAACCGCUUUCGCCUGUGACGAAGCGUGAGUGACGGUAAUGGGUAAAGAAGCACCGGCUAACUACGUGCCAGCAGCCGUGGUGAUACGUAGGGUGCGAGCGUUGUCCGGAUUUAUUGGGCGUAAAGGGCUCGUAGGUGGUUGAUCGCGUCGGAAGUGUAAUCUUGGGGCUUAACCCUGAGCGUGCUUUCGAUACGGGUUGACUUGAGGAAGGUAGGGGAGAAUGGAAUUCCUGGUGGAGCGGUGGAAUGCGCAGAUAUCAGGAGGAACACCAGUGGCGAAGGCGGUUCUCUGGGCCUUUCCUGACGCUGAGGAGCGAAAGCGUGGGGAGCGAACAGGCUUAGAUACCCUGGUAGUCCACGCUGUAAACGGUGGGUACUAGGUGUGGGGUCCAUUCCACGGGUUCCGUGCCGUAGCUAACGCUUUAAGUACCCCGCCUGGGGAGUACGGCCGCAAGGCUAAAACUCAAAGGAAUUGACGGGGCCCCGCACAAGCGGCGGAGCAUGCGGAUUAAUUCGAUGCAACGCGUAAAACCUUACCUGGGUUUGACAUGGAUCGGGAGCGCUCAGAGAUGGGUGUGCCUCUUUUGGGGUCGGUUCACAGGUGGUGCAUGGCUGUCGUCAGCUCGUGUCGUGAGAUGUUGGGUUAAGUCCCGCAACGAGCGCAACCCUUGUUCACUGUUGCCAGCACGUUAUGGUGGGGACUCAGUGGAGACCGCCGGGGUCAACUCGGAGGAAGGUGGGGAUGACGUCAAGUCAUCAUGCCCCUUAUGUCCAGGGCUUCACGCAUGCUACAAUGGCUGGUACAGAGAGUGGCGAGCCUGUGAGGGUGAGCGAAUCUCGGAAAGCCGGUCUCAGUUCGGAUUGGGGUCUGCAACUCGACCUCAUGAAGUCGGAGUCGCUAGUAAUCGCAGAUCAGCAACGCUGCGGUGAAUACGUUCCCGGGGCU
rnacentral:rRNA from 1 species